rnacentral:rRNA from 1 species
UGGGGAAUUUUGGCCAAUGGGCGCAAGCCUGAUCCAGCAAUGCCGCGUGCAGGAUGAAGGCCUUCGGGUUGUAAACUGCUUUUGUACGGAACGAAAAAGCUCUCUCUAAUACAGGGGGUGAAUGACGGUACCGUAAGAAUAAGCACCGGCUAACUGCGUGCCAGCAGCCGCGGUAAUACGUAGGGUGCAAGCGUUAAUCGGAAUUACUGGGCGUAAAGCGUGCGCAGGCGGUUUUGUAAGACAGAGGUGAAAUCCCCGGGCUCAACCUGGGAACUGCCUUUGUGACUGCAAAGCUGGAGUGCGGCAGAGGGGGAUGGAAUUCCGCGUGUAGCAGUGAAAUGCGUAGAGAUGCGGAGGAACACCGAUGGCGAAGGCAAUCCCCUGGGCCUGCACUGACGCUCAUGCACGAAAGCGUGGGGAGCAAACA